rnacentral:lncRNA from 13 species
CAAAAGCGUGUGAAGAUCCCCGGAUACUGACUUGAGGUAUACCGACAAUCGGCUUGAUUUUUCUGUUACACCUUCCACGGUGGUAGAGGCAGAUCGCUGCAGGUACAGAAAAACACGGCUUUAUAAAAAAAUUCUCAUUUAAUUUCUCAGGACUGUUAAAACAAGGAAAAAGAAGGCAAUAUUACUAGUCAGGCACUACAAAACUUUUACAUUAAAAGAAGAAAAACCAACCCUGAAAUCAUGCUUUUAAGCCCAAAAAGAGUGGGAACUUUCUCUUCUUCUUCCACGCUGGAAAGCAGAAUACAAGUACCGUGAAAAUAACCACAGAUGUUUUCGGCUGGAGCCCUGGCCAUUACUUGGGCAUGGAACUGAAAGCUGUAUCAAACGAAGUCUUUAGUCCUGUCAAAGCUUCAUGAAAUCGCAGGAUCUCUAGGAAGAAGGGUGCCGUGAAUGUAUCAAACAUGAGCAGUAACUUACAGAUCCUGCAAAUCUAUUUCUUCUUCCAAUGUUUGUAUUUGCAAAUGCUAAGGUAUAAAUU